UGUGGCUCAAUGAUAGAGCAUCUGCUUGGCAUGCAGAAGGUGACAGGUUGGAUACCUGUCAUGUGAA
rnacentral:tRNA from 1 species